GGCUCCAAAUCGCCACUUACAUGCUUAUUUAUAAGCUCAAUAGGUUUACACAAUCUGAAACCUAAAUCUAAUGGAUAAUAUUAACUUGAAAUGAAUGGAUGGCUAAGAUGGAAAGUUGGUCUUGCAAUCUGUGUGAUCUCUUGUGAUUGGAUGAGGGCUGAUGUUGCUUGAUUGGUUGAUUUGAAUCUGGUCAAAGGGAGGGCUUGCCUCUGAUUGGAUCAUCUUAGGCGCCCAUGAAUGUAGUCUCCCUUGUGUCCAGAUUCAUGGUGAAUAUACAGCCAAGGGACAGCUCACGCCAGCUCACUCCUUGCUGUGCCUUAUCCAUAACUGGUCCCCAAAUACAAUCAGAUCAGGUCGCCUAUCUUUAUGAUGAACCAGCGCCCUAUUUUUGCACGCCUCGCCCAAACAUCUCCAACGGUCGAACUUGCCUCGGUUUGGAUCGCCCUAAGUUUGCACGGUCCGUCCGUACCAUCAGUACCGUCUGAACUUCCGGGACGCCCUAUCUUUGCACCAUCACCCAAUUCUCUCCAAAUGAUGUCUAAGUCCCUCCUGGACUUAAACCCUAUCUUUGGACAGCCCUUAGAACACUUCUGGAGCUCAUCAGACACUUCUGAAGCUUGAUAGACAAUCUCUAUAAGACUUGCCCUAUCUUUGCACUAGACACCAACUCCUCCAUACUUCUCCUUUGUCUCCAUUUUGUUUCUUCAAGUUAACACU
rnacentral:lncRNA from 1 species